AGCGUUGUUCGGAAUUACUGGGCGUAAAGCGUACGUAGGCGGAUAGUUAAGUUGGGGGUGAAAGCCCGGGGCUCAACCUCGGAACUGCCUUCAAUACUGGCUAUCUUGAGUACGGGAGAGGUGUGUGGAACUCCGAGUGUAG
rnacentral:rRNA from 1 species